rnacentral:rRNA from 1 species
AUUGAACGCUGGCGGCAUGCUUUACACAUGCAAGUCGAACGGUAACAGGUUAAGCUGACGAGUGGCGAACGGGUGAGUAAUGCAUCGGAACGUGCCUGAUCGUGGGGGAUAACGCAGCGAAAGCUGCGCUAAUACCGCACACGAUCUGAGGAUGAAAGCGGGGGACCGUAAGGCCUCGCGCGCACGGAGAGGCAGAUGUCAGAUUAGGUAGUUGGUGGGGUAAAGGCUCACCAAGCCAACGAUCUGUAGCUGGUCUGAGAGGACGACCAGCCACACUGGGACUGAGACACGGCCCAGACUCCUACGGGAGGCAGCAGUGGGGAAUUUUGGACAAUGGGCGAAAGCCUGAUCCAGCAAUGCCGCGUGCAGGAAGAAGGCCUUCGGGUUGUAAACUGCUUUUGUACGGAGCGAAAAGGUCCCCUCUAAUACAGGGGGCUCAUGGCGGUACCGUAAGAAUAAGCACCGGCUAACUACGUGCCAGCAGCCGCAGUAA